rnacentral:rRNA from 1 species
AGCAUGAAAGUUUGCUUGCAAACUUUUGAUGGCGACCGGCGCACGGGUGAGUAACACGUAUCCAACCUGCCUCAUACUCGGGGAUAGCCUUUCGAAAGAAAGAUUAAUACCCGAUGUCAUAGUCCUACCGCAUGAUGGGAUUAUUAAAGAAUUUCGGUAUGGGAUGGGGAUGCGUUCCAUUAGUUAGUUGGCGGGGUAACGGCCCACCAAGACAACGAUGGAUAGGGGUUCUGAGAGGAAGGUCCUCCACAUUGGAACUGAGACACGGUCCAAACUCCUACGGGAGGCAGCAGUGAGGAAUAUUGGUCAAUGGACGAGAGUCUGAACCAGCCAAGUAGCGUGAAGGAUGACUGCCCUACGGGUUGUAAACUUCUUUUAUAUGGGAAUAAAAUGUUCCACGUGUGGGAUUUUGUAUGUACCAUAUGAAUAAGGAUCGGCUAACUCCGUGCCAGCAGCCGCGGUAAUACGGAGGAUCCGAGCGUUAUCCGGAUUUAUUGGGUUUAAAGGGAGCGUAGGUGGAUUGUUAAGUCAGUUGUGAAAGUUUGCGGCUCAACCGUAAAAUUGCAGUUGAAACUGGCAGUCUUGAGUACAGUAGAGGUGGGCGGAAUUCGUGGUGUAGCGGUGAAAUGCUUAGAUAUCACGAAGAACUCCGAUUGCGAAGGCAGCUCACUGGACUGCAACUGACACUGAGGCUCGAAAGUGUGGGUAUCAAACA